rnacentral:lncRNA from 1 species
GUCACUAACAGGCUUUGGUGGAAAAUCACCUCCGCUGUUCCCCUGCUGGUGCGACCACUGUGAUGAGACAGAGCCUUGGACACCCAGUGGUCAGUUUGCUGUACCUGCACACCUCUGUCUUCCAAAAGUUUAUUUCCUCCUGUGUUCCCAAAUGGCUGCUGUAUCUACAAUAUAACAUGCUACAUUGUGCUGGACUGGCAUUCUAGCUCAUCCUGGGUCUUUCUUUGUCUGGUUGGCUGCAUUUGGAAGGACCUUGCUGAACUUGACCUCUGGUUAUGCUCUGAAACUGUUCUCUUAAAAAGCUACCAUGGAGUGGUCCUGCCAGCCCUGGCAAUGUCUCACCACCUGUGCAUCAGUGCCAGCCAAGUUGGAAGAUAGGAUGGAUGCCUGCACACUUAAAUUUUUAAUUGUUGACAUCUCUAAGUCUGGAAGUAAUUUUGUCAAUAAUGUAUUAGAGUUACAUAGCUAGAUUAUUCUACAGUAAGUUUAUGGGGUAUACUCAGUUUAUUUCAUUCAAUAAAUUGUAUAAUAAACACAGAUCCAGAAAUGGUGUUGAGUGAUGAGAUUAUAUUGAUGAAAAGACACAGUGAUUGCCUUCAAAGAGAUCAUAUUCCGGUAUGACAAUAUUUAAGAAUUGUAAUAUAUUGUGUUAAGUUUCAUAAUAGGAGUUUGCAGUUUUUGUCACCUUCUCACCUUUCUCACUUGCCUCAGAUAAGAGACAAAUCAUAGUCUCCAGUAGAUUCGCUAUAUUUGUUAUAAUUGAUUAGAAGACUUGAUAAUGAGAGAAGUCCAAACAUGCUACUUUUCAUGAGCUUUGUUUUUCUAAUUAAACAUGCAUCAUACUAUAUCAAUGACUAAAACAGCAAUUUUUAAUAUUUGUUCAGAGGCCGGGCACAGUGGCACAUGCCUGUAGGCCCGGCACUUUGGGAAGCUGAGGUGGGCAGAUUGCAUGAACCCAGGAGUUAGAGUCCAGCGUGGGCAACAUGGCAAGACCCCAUCUCUACAAAAAUACAAAAAUUAGCUGGGUGCAGUGGCUUGGGCCUAUAUCCCAGCUACUUGGAAGGCUAAGAUAGGAGGAUACUCUGAGCUAGGGAGGUCGAGG